CUCUAGCCUGGGCAAUAAAGCGAGACUGUCUCAAAAAAAAUAAUAAAAUGGUAAAAGGCAUCAAAUUUUUGAGGGGAAAUACCUAUUGGUGAACUGAAAACUCGACAACAGUUCUGGUGUGUGGGAUAACAUGUUAAUAGCCUUGAUCAUUUUGAAUUUCAUAAUCAUAAAUGGGAUUUUGUUUUUGAGAUGGGGUUUCACUCUUGUUGCAGUGAGCAGAGAUUGCGCCAUUACUCCAGUCUGGGCGGCGAGAGCAAAACUCCGUCAAAAAAACAAAAACAAAAAAAACAAAAAAACCAUGCUUUCAAAUCUGCCUAACAAUUAUAGCUUCAGAGUCCUUGUAUUCAGGAUUAUCUAUUUGUAACUUACUACUUUUUACAAAUAUUUUUCUUACACUAAAUUAGAAAGAAUGUUUGGUCUUGUAGGUGUCUGAGAAUCUUUAGUAAAAUACCCCUACAGAUUCUAU
rnacentral:lncRNA from 1 species